UACAGAGGUCCCAAGCGUUGUUCGGUUUCAUUGGGCGUAAAGGGCGCGUAGGCGAUCAGCACAAGUCAGUUGUGAAAUCUCCGGGCUUAACCCGGAAAGGUCAACUGAUACUGUGCGACUAGAGUGCGGAAGGGGCAACUGGAAUUCUCGGUGUAGCGGUGAAAUGCGUAGAUAUCGAGAGGAACACCUGCGGCGAAGGCGGGUUGCUGGGCCGACACUGACGCUGAUGCGCGAAAGCCAGGGGAGCGAACGGG
rnacentral:rRNA from 1 species